AUGAACGCUGGCGGCGUGCCUAAUACAUGCAAGUCGAGCGAACAGACGAGGAGCUUGCUCCUCUGACGUUAGCGGCGGACGGGUGAGUAACACGUGGAUAACCUACCUAUAAGACUGGGAUAACUUCGGGAAACCGGAGCUAAUACCGGAUAAUAUAUUGAACCGCAUGGUUCAAUAGUGAAAGACGGUUUUGCUGUCACUUAUAGAUGGAUCCGCGCCGCAUUAGCUAGUUGGUAAGGUAACGGCUUACCAAGGCAACGAUGCGUAGCCGACCUGAGAGGGUGAUCGGCCACACUGGAACUGAGACACGGUCCAGACUCCUACGGGAGGCAGCAGUAGGGAAUCUUCAGCAAAGGGCGAAAGCCUGACGGAGCAACGCCGCGUGAGUGAUGAAGGUCUUCGGAUCGUAAAACUCUGUUAUUAGGGAAGAACAAAUGUGUAAGUAACUAUGCACGUCUUGACGGUACCUAAUCAGAAAGCCACGGCUAACUACGUG
rnacentral:rRNA from 1 species